UGGCUCAGUGGUUAAGAGCUUGGCUGCUAACCAAAAGGUCAGUGGUUCCAACCCACU
rnacentral:tRNA from 1 species